rnacentral:Y_RNA from 1 species
GGCCGGCCCCAGUGCAGUGGGGUUACAGCUCAUUGAUCAUAACCAGCUACACAUUUCUUUGUUUCUUCUUCACUUCCACCGCUCCCCUUAACUAGCGUUAU